CUAGGUUCUGAUCCUGCAUUCAUAACGACAAUAUACAAUCAAAACGGGUUCGACUCUGGAAUUGGUGUUAGCCGAUGGCAAAAAUCAAAACUUAUAGAGGAAUAAGAAGUGUCAAAGUCUUGUGAUGCUUCACAAGUUCGUAUCAAUCAUCCAUAACCAGAAGCUCAUGCAUUUACUAAAUUCAAAAUAGAGGACCCAUUCACAUCCAUACAUAAGCAGAUCCCAAAGCCGUCUUUAUCAAGGAAUGUUUUCUCAGAAUCACAAUAUUAGGGUCUAAUUCUUAUAUGUGGAAAACCAAAUCAAUCCCUCAAGAACAUCAAACCCUAAGUUUUUUUAACCUAUUAUCUAAACAAUUUCGAUUUUUAUGUGUAUGUGAAGCCUCUGAUAAUUGUGAAUGUUUUUAUAUGGAAUUGGUGACCAUUUUUAA